CGUAACCAUGCAAGUCGAACGAUGAAGCGCUUCGGUGGUGGAUUAGUGGCGAACGGGUGAGUAACACGUGGGUAAUCUGCCCUGCACUCUGGGAUAAGCCUUGGAAACGGGGUCUAAUACCGGAUACGACACGUCACCGCAUGGUGUGCGUGUGGAAAGUUCCGGCGGUGCAGGAUGAACCCGCGGCCUAUCAGCUUGUUGGUGGGGUAAUGGCCUACCAAGGCGACGACGGGUAGCCGGCCUGAGAGGGUGACCGGCCACACUGGGACUGAGACACGGCCCAGACUCCUACGGGAGGCAGCAGUGGGGAAUCUUGCGCAAUGGGCGAAAGCCUGACGCAGCAACGCCGCGUGGGGGAUGACGGCCUUCGGGUUGUAAACCUCUUUCGACAGGGACGAAGCUUUCGGGUGACGGUACCUGUAGAAGAAGCACCGGCUAACUACGUGCCAGCAGCCGCGGUAAUACGUAGGGUGCGAGCGUUGUCCGGAUUUAUUGGGCGUAAAGAGCUCGUAGGCGGUUUG
rnacentral:rRNA from 1 species